AUACGGAGGGUGCAAGCGUUACUCGGAAUCACUGGGCGUAAAGCGCGCGCAGGCGGCCAUUUAAGUUGGAUGUGAAAGCCUACGGCUCAACCGUAGAACUGCAUCCAAAACUAUUUGGCUAGAGUGUGGGAGAGGAAGAUGGAAUUAGUUGUGUAGGGGUAAAAUCCGUAGAGAUAACUAGGAAUACCAAAAGCGAAGGCAAUCUUCUGGAACAUUACUGACGCUGAGGCGCGAAAGCGUGGGGAGCAAACAGGAUUAGAAACCCUAGUAGUCC
rnacentral:rRNA from 1 species